rnacentral:tRNA from 3 species
CUCAGUUGGGAGAGCACCUGCCUUACAAGCAGGGGGUCACUGGUUCGAACCCGGUAUCGCCCACCA